GUCGAGCGGUAACACAGAGGAGCUUGCUCCUUGGGUGACGAGCGGCGGACGGGUGAGUAAUGCCUGGGGAUCUGCCCGAUAGAGGGGGAUAACUACGGGAAACUGUAGCUAAUACCGCAUAACGUCUACGGACCAAAGUGGGGGCUCUUCGGACCUCAUGCUAUCGGAUGAACCCAGGUGGGAUUAGCUAGUUGGUGAGGUAAUGGCUCACCAAGGCGACGAUCUCUAACUGGUUUGAGAGAAUGACCAGUCACACUGGAGCUGAGACACGGUCCAGACUCCUACGGGAGGCAGCAGUGGGGAAUAUUGCACAAUGGGCGCAAGCCUGAUGCAGCCAUGCCGCGUGUGUGAAGAAGGCCUUCGGGUUGUAAAGCACUUUCAGCGGGGAGGAAGGGUCACUAGUUAAUACCUAGUGGCAUUGACGUUACUCGCAGAAGAAGCACCGGCUAACUCCGUGCCAGCAGCCGCGGUAAUACGGAGGGUGCAAGCGUUAAUCGGAAUUACUGGGCGUAAAGCGCACGCAGGCGGUUUGUUAAGUCAGAUGUGAAAUCCCCGAGCUCAACUUGGGAACUGCAUUUGAAACUGGCAAGCUAGAGUCUUGUAGAGGGGGGUAGAAUUCCAGGUGUAGCGGUGACAUGCGUAGAGAUCUGGAGGAAUACCGGUGGCGAAGGCGGCCCCCUGGACAAAGACUGACGCUCAGGUG
rnacentral:rRNA from 1 species